rnacentral:lncRNA from 10 species
GGCGAGCCUGCACGAAGCAUCCUUCGAACCUCAGGUAUUCAGCACGCCUUCAUCAGGUGUGUACUCUGUGCCAGGCAAUCUUCUAAUCCUUAAAUGGACGAAACAAAGGCCUCCCUUGGACUGACAUUUUUAAUGAAGAAUAAAAACCCAUAAUGAAAUAUAAAAAUAUUAACGUUAUAAGAGCUAAGGGAAAAAACAUGUGUUACAACUUGAAAAUACAAAAAUAGGAAAUCAUCUUUCUCUGUGGACGAAUGAAACCCCUGAUUCUAAGAAACAAAGAAACAAAACUCAUCAUGACUGGUGUUCUGUACUCUUUGGAAAAUACGUUUUACUGUAGAAAUGACUAAAUGCGAUGAAAGACUCUUUACCAGAAGCAGUGGCUGGUUGGCGGCGCCUGUACGCCUGAGGAGCACCCUUUUUGUGUCCAUGUUUGAUAAAGCAGAAGAGACCUAAAGAGACAAGGGGCGGCCGGGCGCGGUGGCUCACUCCUGUAAUCCCAGCACUUUGGGAGGCCGAGGCGGGCAGAUCAUCUGAGAUCGGGAGUUCGAGACCAGCCUGACCAACAUGGAGAAACCCCGUCUAUACUAAAAAUACACAAUUAACCGGUUAUAGUGGCGCAUGCCUGUAAUGCCAGCUACUUGGGAGGCUGAAGCAGGAAAAUCGCUUGAGGCAGAGGUUGCGGUGAACCGAGACUGCGCUAUUGCACUCCAGCGGGCAACAAGAGCCAAACUCUGUCUCAAAAACAAACAAACAAACAAACAAACAAAAAAAAAACCACAAGGGCCAUCGCUCUGGGGCGUGGGACAUAUGGUCCGCAGUUGGGAUACUAACUGUUGUAUGGAUGGGGGAGUGGUCCUCAAACCCUGGAGCUUCUCAGUCCCUGCCUCUUUCAACCUCUAAAUGGGCCCACUGCUUUUCCCUUCCCACUGUUCUGCCGGCUGGAGCACCCCCAGCACCAGCAGCGCGGCUCCCACGCCUCUGGUCUGGGCUCUGCCAGCCCCACGGGUCUAAGCUCUCCCCAGGCCAUUAUUUUUUGUCUCCUCUUUCUUCAUUGAGGUCCUCUCUCUGUCACUUGCUCUUUUGCCUGGCUCAAGACAUGGGUUUAAACACUGUUUAUACUACCCCUUGCUAAUGUUGACUCACUACCCCAUAUCUUUUUCUUUUUUCUUUUUUUUUCCAAGUAGCACUCUUUGAGAUGUCCUUUUAUUGAUGUUUCUUUACACGUUGUUUUUACAUGCAUUACAGUGUGAUGAACAUAUCCAUCCACUGAAAUAACAUUAUUCUCAACUACGCAAAAGAAAGCAAUACUCUUAGAAGAAUCCUUUCUGCAUAUGUCUUUAGACACUUUUACAUUCAUAACACUGGUCACCAACCCAUUUCUAUGUUUAAGUAACUUGACUUUUUCUCCUUCUCCCUUUCUCUACCUAUUAAAUUCACAUUUUAUUUUACCCCAAGCUACUUUUACCUAGUACAGUGUCUAUGUUUUUCACUGUAAGAUUGAGUAAGGCCAGAGAUGAGGAGAAUAGUGAUUGUGAAAUAAAAUGAAAGAUAUACUCAAUUCUUGGGAGCAAUAGCCUUGUUGUUGGGUUAUGUUUAUUCAUUUAUAAAACUAAUGAGAACCUACCAUAGUCAAGCACUGUAGUAGACCUGAGAGAAAAUAGUGAAUAAAACCCCAAAUCAAGGACCUUGCCCUUGUGGAACUUUUAGUAUAGUAUAUGGAACAGGCAUUGAUACACGAAUCCUGUAUAAAUGUAAAAUUACCACUUAAGAGCUGGAGUGGUGGUGUCAGGGACCUAGCUGUCAGUUUGAGGGAAGGAUGAUUAAGCACAAAAUUGAAGAUCAUUUUAUAAAGCAAAAGAGUGGAGCUUGGGGUAUAGGUAGAGGAAAGAGGAUGUACAGUGUGUGUGCUCUAGGAAGGAGCUCACUGUAUCCAUGGACAUGUAGAAAGGCUGCCAUGACUUUCUACACAAAAAGCCAAGGGGUGAGGUGGGGUGGAGAGAGAUAUAGGAUAAGGCAUGAUAUAAUCUGGGCUACAGAGGGGAUGUGGCUGGAGAUGCUGGUGACUGCCAGACCAUGCUGGACUUUGUAGACCAUGUUUAAAAUGUCCAUAAAUGAUGCUCAUUAAUAAUGUGUUGUAUAAAUGCAUGUCAAUAAAAGUUGAUGUUUGCAAGACCAGCAUGUGUUCAGGCCAGCAUGUUCACAGCUAAUAAUAGCUAACCAUUAUUGCACACUUAUUUCAUUCUUUGCACUCCUUUAACUGCUCUGUAUAGAUUAUCUCAUUUAAUUUUUCCAGCUACUGUACCCAAUAGGCAAGAUUAAAUUCCUCAUUUUAGGCAGAGUGUGGUGGCACAUACCAGUAAUUUCAGUGUUUGGGAGACCGAUGUAGGAGGAUCACUUGAGGCCAGGAGUUCAAGACCAGCCUGAGAAAAAUUAGCCUAUUGUGGUGGCAUGUGCCUGUAGUCUCAGCUACUCAGGACGCUGAGGUGAGAGGCAGUGAGCUAUGAUAGUACCACUGCAUGCCUCGGUGACAGAGCAAGAUCCCAUCUCUAAAUUUUUUUUUUUUUUUUUUUGAGACGGAGUCUCGCUCUGUUGCCCAGGCUGGAGAGCAGUGCUGUAAUGUCUGCUCACUGCAACCUCCUCCUCCCGGGUUUAAGCGAUUCUCCAGCCUCAGCCUCCUGAGUAGCUGGGAUUACAGGUGCGCAUCACCAUGCCUGGAUAAUUUUUGUAUUUUUAGUAGAGA